rnacentral:piRNA from 1 species
UAACAUGUGAAAAGGAACAAAAGGGCUC